rnacentral:rRNA from 1 species
UACAGAGGUCUCAAGCGUUGUUCGGAUUCAUUGGGCGUAAAGGGUGUGUAGGUGGCGCGCUAAGUCGGGUGUGAAAUUUCGGAGCUUAACUCCGAAACUGCAUUCGAUACUGGCGUGCUUGAGGACUGGAGAGGAGACUGGAAUUCAUGGUGUAGCAGUGAAAUGCGUAGAGAUCAUGAGGAAGACCAGUGGCGAAGGCGGGUCUCUGGACAGUUCCUGACACUGAGACACGAAGGCCAGGGGAGCAAAACGGGG